rnacentral:rRNA from 1 species
CAGCAGCCGCGGUAAAACGGAGGGUGCAAGCGUUAAUCGGAAUUACUGGGCGUAAAGCGCACGCAGGCGGUCUGUCAAGUCAGAUGUGAAAUCCCCGGGCUUAACCUGGGAACUGCAUUUGAAACUGGCAGGCUAGAGUCUUGUAGAGGGGGGUAGAAUUCCAGGUGUAGCGGUGAAAUGCGUAGAGAUCUGGAGGAAUACCGGUGGCGAAGGCGGCCCCCUGGACAAAGACUGACGCUCAGGUGCGAAAGCGUGGGGAGCAAACAGGAUUAGAUACCCGUGUAGUCCCUGUCUCUUAUAA